rnacentral:rRNA from 1 species
AAUCAACGCUGGCGGCGUGCCUCAGACAUGCAAGUCGAACGAGAAGUCCCCUUCGGGGGAUGGAUAGUGGCGCACGGGUGAGUAACACGUGGGUAAUUUACCUUUGGGUGGGGAACAACAGCCGGAAACGGCUGCUAAUACCGCAUAAUGCAGCGGCUCCUCAUGGAGACAGUUGUUAAAGCGGGGGAUCGCAAGACCUCGCGCCUGAAGAGAAGCCCGCGGCAGAUAGCUAGUUGGUAAGGUAAUGGCUUACCAAGGCGACGAUCUGUAACCGGCCUGAGAGGGCGGUCGGUCACACUGACACUGACAUACGGGUCAGACUCCUACGGGAGGCAGCAGUCGGGAAUUUUGGGCAAUGGGCGAAAGCCUGGCCCAGCAACGCCGCGUGAAGGAUGAAGUUUUCGGAAUGUAAACUUCACAAGAUUGGGGAGAAUAAGUUUUGGAUAAUACCCAAAACGAUGACGGUA